rnacentral:rRNA from 1 species
GACGAACGCUGGCGGCGUGCUUAACACAUGCAAGUCGAACGGAAAGGCCCUGCUUUUGUGGGGUGCUCGAGUGGCGAACGGGUGAGUAACACGUGAGUAACCUGCCCUUGACUUUGGGAUAACUUCAGGAAACUGGGGCUAAUACCGGAUAGGAGCUCCUGCUGCAUGGUGGGGGUUGGAAAGUUUCGGCGGUUGGGGAUGGACUCGCGGCUUAUCAGCUUGUUGGUGGGGUAGUGGCUUACCAAGGCUUUGACGGGUAGCCGGCCUGAGAGGGUGACCGGCCACAUUGGGACUGAGAUACGGCCCAGACUCCUACGGGAGGCAGCAGUGGGGAAUAUUGCACAAUGGGCGGAAGCCUGAUGCAGCAACGCCGCGUGCGGGAUGACGGCCUUCGGGUUGUAAACCGCUUUCGCCUGUGACGAAGCGUGAGUGACGGUAAUGGGUAAAGAAGCACCGGCUAACUACGUGCCAGCAGCCGCGGUGAUACGUAGGGUGCGAGCGUUGUCCGGAUUUAUUGGGCGUAAAGGGCUCGUAGGUGGUUGAUCGCGUCGGAAGUGUAAUCUUGGGGCUUAACCCUGAGCGUGCUUUCGAUACGGGUUGACUUGAGGAAGGUAGGGGAGAAUGGAAUUCCUGGUGGAGCGGUGGAAUGCGCAGAUAUCAGGAGGAACACCAGUGGCGAAGGCGGUUCUCUGGGCCUUUCCUGACGCUGAGGAGCGAAAGCGUGGGGAGCGAACAGGCUUAGAUACCCUGGUAGUCCACGCUGUAAACGGUGGGUACUAGGUGUGGGGUCCAUUCCACGGGUUCCGUGCCGUAGCUAACGCUUUAAGUACCCCGCCUGGGGAGUACGGCCGCAAGGCUAAAACUCAAAGGAAUUGACGGGGCCCCGCACAAGCGGCGGAGCAUGCGGAUUAAUUCGAUGCAACGCGUAGAACCUUACCUGGGUUUGACGUGGAUCGGGAGUGCUCAGAGAUGGGUGUGCCUCUUUUGGGGUCGGUUCACAGGUGGUGCAUGGCUGUCGUCAGCUCGUGUCGUGAGAUGUUGGGUUAAGUCCCGCAACGAGCGCAACCCUUGUUCACUGUUGCCAGCACGUUAUGGUGGGGACUCAGUGGAGACCGCCGGGGUCAACUCGGAGGAAGGUGGGGAUGACGUCAAGUCAUCAUGCCCCUUAUGUCCGGGGCUUCACGCAUGCUACAAUGGCUGGUACAGAGGGUGGCGAGCCUGUGAGGGUGAGCGAAUCUCGGAAAGCCGGUCUCAGUUCGGAUUGGGGUCUGCAACUCGACCUCAUGAAGUCGGAGUCGCUAGUAAUCGCAGAUCAGCAACGCUGCGGUGAAUACGUUCCCGGG